GCUAAUUCAAGCCCUCCCAAUUAUUAAAUCAAAUAUUAUGCAUACUUAAUCCAAACCAUUUAUCCCGUCCAAGUAUAGGUGAUAGAAAAGACUAUUUGGCGCAAUAACGCAA
rnacentral:rRNA from 1 species